rnacentral:lncRNA from 1 species
UCCCAUCUCAUAUGUUGAUAGGAAUAAUGAUUAGACUCGGGCUGGUUUGCAGGUGUGUAAACCUUUGUCUAAGACCACAUAUAAUCAAUGUUUAUCUAAGAAGAUGCAGCAUCAAAUGAUCGAGAAAUGGAGAGGAUGGGCUAUCAUGUGGAAAUUGAAGGUUGCACCUUGGACUCAUACCUUUUUGUGGAGACUGCUAUGGGGGAGACUGCCCAUGCUUGCUUGGCUUCACCACUUCAAUCUUUAUCCUGACCCUUCAUAUGCUUGUUGUAGUCUUAAGAUUACAACCCAAAGCCUAAUAGUUAGAAAUUGUGUAUUGCAAGCCAUAGCAUACAUAAAGGAUUCGACGGGAACCACCUCCUCACCCUUUUGUAAACUAUAGCACAGAUGGUUCUUUUGUUUCUUAUGACAUAUAUUGGCAGGUGAGGAAAAUCUCUCUUCACCCCCUAUCAUGUAUACUGAAGUGUGGGCCAUUGGAGAAGCUUUCAGGAUAGCCAAGGAGCUCGACCAUUCUCACAUGAUCCCCGAGAGACAAUUUUUGAUCCAUCUCCUUCAA